rnacentral:tRNA from 1 species
CACUUUUUAAUUUAUUAAAAUAUCUGUCUUGGAUACAGAAAAUAUCUAUAUUAUUAU